UACGGAGGGUGCAAGCGUUACCCGGAUUUACUGGGUUUAAAGGGUGCGUAGGCGGGCCUUUAAGUCAGUGGUGAAAGCUCCGAGCUUAACUCGGAAACUGCCAUUGAUACUAUUGGUCUUGAAUCCGGUCGAGGUUGGCGGAAUGUGUCGUGUAGCGGUGAAAUGCUUAGAUAUGACACAGAACACCGAUUGCGAAGGCAGCUAGCUAGACCGACAUUGACGCUGAGGCACGAAAGCGUGGGGAUCAAACAGG
rnacentral:rRNA from 1 species